AGACUUUUGCCGCUUUGGCUGAUUGGCUAGCGGAGAUGCCAUAUGAUGCCAUAAUGCGGACGUUUUUAAUUGCAAAACUGAAAAUGGCAAUGCUGCACCUCGCGCGUUACUUUCAAAAUGGCUGCUGGCAUUGGUCGACACGACGAGAAUCGACAACAACUGAUAGAUCCCCACAGUAGUGAUCGUCCUGGUUUGUAAUGUGCCAGUUCAUGUGAAAUCUUGAGCUGAACGCCAAAUAUCAGGCUAGAUGCCUAGAUCUUUCCAAGAUAAGGCAAUGUGAUUUUUCGAAGAAAUUGUGCUUAUCGCGUGCUGUGGUUUGUUGGGUAAUUCAGCAUGCUAAAUGUAAAUGAUUCCUGACUCUAGAUUUUCGGGGUAUUUGGGAAAUGAGAACUACAGAAGCAGAUGUUUGAUAUGGGCCUAUUCACUUCAGCCUGCAUUUACUUAUUCAAAUGUCAACUUUGGGGUAGUCACUAGUCAAUAGGUGUGUAAAAUUGUGUCCACCAGGUGGCGGAGUGUUUGUUCGUGAGUGAGUGAGUGACCGGUGACGAUUCCGGAUUCCGCCAUUUGCUUUUUGAGACAGACGGAAAUGUAAAUGUGUUGCUGACGGUGUUUUUCGCUUUUACUUUGAAAAAACCAUGAGGUAUUUCCACGCCAUUCGACCAAGCUGAAUUGAAAGUGAACAAUUCAAAAGCAACAUGUCGAAGAUCUUCUACCUUACUCCACGUUAUCGCUGCCAUGUCACGAAGAUGCGCUUUUGAGAGGGUCUCUACUAAAUUGCAAGACAAAAAUGUGUUGAAAACACUCAGGAAAUCUGAAAUGUUUGAUGUUUGAGUUGUUUUGGUGUUGCUGUUGUGCAGUGGUUUUGCAGCCCUUUUCCAGUUGAGAGCUGCACUUGAAUGGAGCUUGUGCAGACUUGUAGUUGAACAUCAUACUUAAAUGUGUCAUUUGCCUAUGUUGGUGUCCAUGCAGUGUUGAACAGUUGGAUAAAAUUGUCAAUGUUGCCUGAUGGCUGUUGGGCUUAUUUUAUCGGCUUCGUUUUGUCGAUAUGUCUUCUCUUGCUACCUGUUCCGGCGUUGAGUUCAAUCGUUUGCCGCUUUCCGGCUUCGACUUGAUUCAUUGGUGAAACUGAGGUUGCUGAAAUUCAAGACUCGUCAAUAUAAAUUAUGUAGAU
rnacentral:lncRNA from 1 species